GGAAGAUGGCCGUAAUCUGCCAUGUGGGAGCAGCUAAGCAAUCCAAGGCAAUCAAGAAGACAUUGGAUAUUCACCUUUUCCAUCAGUCCUCACCUGCUGUGUAGGCGGUGCUUUUGGCUAUAAGAGGAUAUUCCAAUAAUGCAUUGUUUGAACUGGAAAACCUUACACCAACAGAGUGGUGCUGAGAAAUGACCAACAGACUUUGGCAUUUUCAAUAUGCCCUUGCGCAGCUUGAUGUAACAUGUAUGAUGUUGAACAGAUAAACAUUCAGUAUUUGCUGAAACUUAACUUUAAGUACAAAUUUUAAAUUUCCUAUGCCUGCACGUAAUAAAAUAUGUGAUGACCCUUGUAUACAAAGAUGAAGAAAUGUACUGCUAUUAUUUUUAUAUAUAUGUCCUCUUCCAUUACUUUAGCACUUGUGUAUAGUUGUUCCAUUUGCUUAGCCCUCCAGUCACAGACGGUAAUUAUUGGGGUUGCUUGUAAUUGUCGGGGAUUGCAGCUAUGUAAAAAUACACACACUAUCUUUAAGACUGAAUAUAAUGGCUGAAUCCUUUGCUCAUUUUAUAUAUGCAGUCUGUUUUCUGACAUCUUAAAAUUUGUUUGAAUUUUACA